UAUGGUGAUAAUAUUUUUGGUGUGAAUUUCGCAUAAAUUGUGUGUUGAUAUUAUUGAAGAUAUUUUUAUUUGAUAAAAUUAUUUUGGAGCCACUAAUGUGCUAGCAUGAAGUCUAAUUCAAUAACUAGCAAAUUGAGAUGUCAAUGAUGGAGGAUGACAUCAAAAUAAACCGGGUAUGAUCGUUCCUUACUCUACCCUAUUGCUAGUAGAUUUG
rnacentral:lncRNA from 1 species